rnacentral:rRNA from 8 species
AUGCAUGUCUAAGUUCACACUGUCUCACGGUGAAACCGCGAAUGGCUCAUUAAAUCAGUCGAGGUUCCUUAGAUGACACGAUCCUACUUGGAUAACUGUGGCAAUUCUAGAGCUAAUACAUGCUUAUGAAGCUCCGACCCUUGUGGAAAGAGCGCUUUUAUUAGUUCAAAACCAAUCGUCGUUGCUCGCAAGAGCGGCGGCGUCCCCAUUGGUGACUCUGGAUAACUUUGUGCUGAUCGCAUGGCCCCUGUGCUGGCGACGCAUCUUUCAAAUGUCUGCCCUAUCAAAUGUCGAUGGUACGUGAUAUGCCUACCAUGUUUGUAACGGGUAACGGGGAAUCAGGGUUCGAUUCCGGAGAGGGAGCAUGAGAAACGGCUACCACA